CUUUUGAGUCUUCGGGUUUGAGUCGUUCGUUCAUCACGUGACAGCCCCAAAAGGUGAACGAACGACUCUAAAACAGGUGAACUAAUUCCAGUACAGAACCUAAUAGGAUGUUGCGCAUGCGCGACUGAACGAAUCACUCCCCGAGGCGACUCGUUCGUCCCGAGUCACAUUAAAGAUUCGUUCAAAAUGAACGAAUCGUUCAAGAACGACCCAUCACUAGUGAUAACACAACUGUUUGACUUCUGGGGACUUCACAUCUCUUUUCGAGUCAAGCCCGACAACACUUUUCUAAACUAAAAAGACACCUUUUUUCAGUGAUUGUUGUAACCUUUCAAAUUAAGUUAAUGGCUGAUGGCAUUGCUAAGAUCUAGGAAUCUACUUAAAAGUAAGUAAAUACUUUCAAAUUUUUCUGCUAAAAGUAAAAUAGCUUUUACAGACACACACACAUUGUAUAAGCUAUUUUCAUAACUAGUGUAAAAUUGAAGUCUUUCAAUUCUGACACAUUUCAAGCACUGCAUUCAAACUUCAGUAGAUGAUGACUUUGAGGAAACAACUUUCUGGACCUUUGUGACAAAAGAAAGUGGUGAAAUUGUACUCUUUUAUCAACAGUAUUUAUUUAAUUUACUGGUUUUAACUUUUAAUGACAUGUUUUUGCUGUAUCCACUUUAUUUAACAAGAGACACAAUGGAGAGAGAUCAGGACUGCAGCACCAGGACCUAGGUGGAAGUGAACUUUGGUUGCUACAAUAAUGGUGUUGUACGCAACAAGGACCUCUUCAAUCUCUUUUUCCUGACAGUAUCCAUUUGGAUUUCGAUACUUUUCAAGAAUAAAUAGCACUGGAAAUUUCAGUGCUUCCAACUUUGCAGAAAUGUGGGAUGGCCAAGUCUCAGAGUGCUAAGCUUCAAGGAUCAUGUCAGCACCAGCUCAAAGUUCCAGUUUUCUGAACAUUGUAUCCUGUGAGCAAGAGACUCUGUCCAACCUCUCUUCAGUCAAGUCUGGACCCAAUAAGACAGCAGUCUCAAGGACAAUUAAUGAUAGAUCAUGCUAAUCCACAUUGAAAUAGUGACAACAUUCAAGUCUUCAAGCAGUACAUUUCCAGUUUCUCGAACUGACUCAGUCCCAUGUCUUCCGUCAAAUGUGGACUCAUUACUGUUGUUCAACCAGGCAAGCGGC